rnacentral:lncRNA from 10 species
GCUCUGUGGUUGCUGGUGGCGUGCUCUCAUGCUCUGCAGAUGCCGGCCAACUGAUCCAAUCUGACAUUUCUUUGUUGAUCUUUUGCCUACUUGUUCUACUCAUAACGAAAGUAGCAAGGUCUUAACGCUCUUCAAUUCUGUGAAGGCUGAGAGAGGUAAGGAAACCACAGGAGAAAAGUUGUUUAGCUCACUGGGCAUCUUUAAGAAGGUUACCUUGAAUGAUCAGUUAAUUCAUCUCUAGGUGAGAACCGCGUCACGUUUGAGAAGCGCUGAUGGCUUCCUGCAGGACGGGAACGGACUGUGUUCCUUUAGCUCGCACGGCUCCUCUCCUGAGUGUGAAUUUCGGUGCCUGUUGCUCCUUUACUAUAAAUCAACCUUGUGUUUUAAGGCAGCCGUCCCCAACCAUUUUGGUACCAGUUUCAUGGGAGACAAUUUUCCCACGUACUGUGGGAUGAGGGUGGGGUUGGGGGGAUGGUUUUGGGAUGAAACUG